rnacentral:lncRNA from 1 species
CAGGCCUGGUCUUGCUUUCAUGUAGGGGAAGCUGGAUGUUUAUUUGUUCGGUUGGUUGGUUUGCUGGUUGUUUCAGAAGUGCAAGAGGGUGGCCGGGCGCAGUCGUUCGUGCCUGUGAUCCCAACACUUUGGGAGGCUGAGGCAGGUGGGAUGACCUGAGUUUGGGAGUUUAAGACCAGCCUGGCCAACAUGGCGAAAUCCCAUCUCUACUAAAAAUAUAAAAAUUAGCUGGGCGUGGUUGCGGGCACCUGUAAUCCCUGCUACUGGAUCACUUGCACCUGGGAGGCAGAGUUUGCAGUGAGCAGAGAUCGCGCCACUGCUCUCCAGCCUGGGCGAGAGUGAGACUCCAAACUCCAUCUCAAAAACAAACAAACAAACAAAAAAGCAGUGUGUACAAAGACUGGAAAUCUUACCCCCAGGAUGAGCUACGGCUUGGAGCACUGAUUUUCUGCUCUGUGACUGCAUUUUCCAAAGCUUGUCCCUGGUGGGCGCCUCCUUCCGGGGUGGGGGGCC